AAGACCUUGCGCUUUUGGAGCGGCCGAUGCCUGAUUAGCUUGUUGGUAAGGUAAAAGCUUACCAAGGCUUCGAUCAGUAGCUGGUCUGAGAGGACGACCAGCCACACUGGGACUGAGACACGGCCCAGACUCCUACGGGAGGCAGCAGUGGGGAAUUUUGGACAAUGGGGGCAACCCUGAUCCAGCCAUGCCGCGUGAGUGAAGAAGGCCUUCGGGUUGUAAAGCUCUUUCAGCCGGAACGAAACGGUUACGGUUAACACCCGUGACUACUGACGGUACCGGAAGAAGAAGCACCGGCUAACUACGUGCCAGCAGCCGCGGUAAUACGUAGGGUGCGAGCGUUAAUCGGAAUUACUGGGCGUAAAGGGUGCGCAGGCGGUUUUGUAAGUCAGAUGUGAAAUCCCCGGGCUUAACCUGGGAACU
rnacentral:rRNA from 1 species